rnacentral:rRNA from 1 species
AUUGAACGCUGGCGGCAGGCCUAACACAUGCCAGUCGAACGGUAACAGGAAGAAGCUUGCUUCUUUGCUGACGAGUGGCGGACGUGUGAGUAAUGUCUGGGAAACUGCCUGAUGGAGGGGGAUAACUACUGGAAACGGUAGCUAAUACCGCAUAACGUCGCAAGACCAAAGAGGGGGACCUUCGGGCCUCUUGCCAUCGGAUGUGCCCAGAUGGGAUUAGCUAGUAGGUGGGGUAACGGCUCACCUAGGCGACGAUCCCUAGCUGGUCUGAGAGGAUGACCAGCCACACUGGACCUGAGACACGGGCCAGCACCAAAGGGAAGGCAGCAGGGGGGAAUAUUGGACAAUGGGGGCAAGCCUGAUGCGGCCAGGCCGCGUGUAUGAGGAGGGCUUUCGAGUUGUAAAGUACUUUAAGCGGGGAGGAAGGAAGUAAAGUUAAUACCGUUGAUCAUUGACGUUACCAGCAGAAGAAGCACGGGCUAACUCCUU